rnacentral:rRNA from 1 species
UAUUGGACAAUGGGCGAAAGCCUGAUCCAGCAAUACCGCGUGUGUGAAGAAGGCCUUAGGGUUGUAAAGCACUUUCAAUUGGGAGGAAAACCUGCCGGUCAAUACCCGGUAGCUUGACAUUACCUUUAGAAGAAGCACCGGCUAACUCCGUGCCAGCAGCCGCGGUAAUACGGAGGGUGCGAGCGUUAAUCGGAAUUACUGGGCGUAAAGCGUGCGUAGGCGGUUCGUUAAGUCAGAUGUGAAAGCCCUGGGCUCAACCUGGGAACUGCAUUUGAAACUGGCGGACUAGAGUUUGGUAGAGGGGAGUGGAAUUUCAGGUGUAGCGGUGAAAUGCGUAGAUAUCUGAAGGAACACCAGUGGCGAAGGCGACUCCCUGGACUAGAACUACGCUGAGUACGAAA